GAGUUUGAUCAUGGCUCAGGAUGAACGCUAGCGGCAGGCUUAACACAUGCAAGUCGAGGGGUAGAGGAAGCUUGCUUCCUUGAGACCGGCGCACGGGUGCGUAACGCGUAUGCAAUCUACCUUGUACAGGGGGAUAGCCCAGAGAAAUUUGGAUUAAUACCCCAUAGUGUAGUUGAAUGGCAUCAUUUAACUACUAAAGUUCCAACGGUACAAGAUGAGCAUGCGUCCUAUUAGCUAGUUGGUGUGGUAACGGCAUACCAAGGCUACGAUAGGUAGGGGUCCUGAGAGGGAGAUCCCCCACACUGGUACUGAGACACGGACCAGACUCCUACGGGAGGCAGCAGUGAGGAAUAUUGGACAAUGGGCGCAAGCCUGAUCCAGCCAUGCCGCGUGCAGGAAGACGGUCCUAUGGAUUGUAAACUGCUUUUUAUACGGGAAGAAACACUCCUACGUGUAGGAACUUGACGGUACCGUAAGAAUAAGGAUCGGCUAACUCCGUGCCAGCAGCCGCCGC
rnacentral:rRNA from 1 species